rnacentral:lncRNA from 1 species
GGGGUAUUAACUACCUGCAUCUGGGUUGUGACAUGCAGAUUCUCCACUUUGACAUCAAGCCACACAAUAUCUUGCUCGACAACAAUUUCAUCCCAAAAGUAGCUGAUUUCGGUCUCGCCAAACUAUACCCAAGAGACAACAGUUUUGUGCCAUUGAGUGUCCUACGGGGAACAAUUGGGUACAUAGCUCCUGAGAUGAUAUCUCGGAGCUUUGGUGUCAUAUCAAGCAAGUCUGAUGUUUACAGCUUCGGAAUGCUGCUGCUGGAGAUGGCUGGAGGAAGAAGGAACGCCGAUCCAAACGCAGCAAACUCAAGUCAGUCUUACUACCCAUCAUGGGUAUAUGACCGGUUAACUCAGCAAGAGGCGGGUGAGAUAUCUGUUUCUGUUGCUGACAUGCAUGAGCUGGAGAGGAAGCUGUGCAUUGUUGGACUAUGGUGUAUCCAGAUGAGGCCUCAAGAUCGUCCGACAAUGAGCGAGGUUGUAGAGAUGCUGGAAGGGGGUGCCGAUACCUUGCAGAUGCCUUCCAGACCAUUCUUCUGGGACGAAGGGCAUGCCGAUACUGAUGAUACUUACCAUUUGUCGUCCGAGUUGAAUGAAAUCUCCGAGGAGGAUACGAGUGAAAAUAUUGAUGAGUAAUGUAAUAAUGUAUGAUGAAGUUGAAGCACUUCGCUUGCAAAAGGCUGAAGUUAUGGUUGUAUUAAAUAAUUGUUUCCGACUCAUGUGAACUUUGAUGCUGAAGCAUGUCAUAGGUACAAUAGGUAGCAGCUCGAGGAUGGAGGGGUAGUACUUCCAACUGCAGCAUCCAUGAUAGUAAGGUUCUAAAAUGAAAUUAUUGUUGUUUAUGGAAGACAUGUAUCUAUUAUUACGAAUCUGAAGAUAUUAUUAGGCACAGUAAUAUAUAUCUUGUGGAAUCUGGAGUGACAUUUGCAUGCACCUGCUGUGAAGAGACAACACUGUUAAUUAGCAUGAAUGUUGCCGUGUAAGUAAUGCAUUUUGUCAUGUGUAUCUAGUGGAAGACAGA